UGAGGAAUAUUGGUCAAUGGACGGAAGUCUGAACCAGCCAUGCCGCGUGAAGGAUGAAGGCGUUCUGCGUUGUAAACUUCUUUUAUCUGGGAAGAAACCACAGAUUUCUAUUUGUGUUGACGGUACCAGAAGAAUAAGCACCGGCUAACUCCGUGCCAGCAGCCGCGGUAAUACGGAGGGUGCGAGCGUUAUCCGGAUUUACUGGGUUUAAAGGGUGCGUAGGCGGGCUAUUAAGUCAGAGGUGAAAUCUCCGGGCUCAACCUGGAAACUGCCUUUGAUACUAUUAGCCUUGUAUUAUGUUGAGGUUGGCGGAAUAUAACAUGUAGCGGUGAAAUGCUUAGAUAUGUUAUGGAACACCGAUUGCGAAGGCAGCUGGCUAAACAUAUAUUGACGCUGAUGCACGAAAGCGUGGGUAGCGAACA
rnacentral:rRNA from 1 species